rnacentral:rRNA from 1 species
AGUGGCGAACGGGUGAGUAAUGUAUCGGAACGUACCUUUCAGUGGGGGAUAACGUAGCGAAAGUUACGCUAAUACCGCAUAUUCUGUGAGCAGGAAAGCAGGGGAUCGAAAGACCUUGCGCUGAUUGAGCGGCCGAUAUCAGAUUAGCUAGUUGGUGGGGUAAAGGCCUACCAAGGCGACGAUCUGUAGCGGGUCUGAGAGGAUGAUCCGCCACACUGGAACUGAGACACGGUCCAGACUCCUACGGGAGGCAGCAGUGGGGAAUUUUGGACAAUGGGGGCAACCCUGAUCCAGCCAUGCCGCGUGAGUGAAGAAGGCCUUCGGGUUGUAAAGCUCUUUCGGCCGGGAAGAAAUCGCAUAGGCUAAUACCCUGUGUGGAUGACGGUACCGGAAUAAGAAGCACCGGCUAACUACGUGCCAGCAGCCGCGGUAAUACGUAGGGUGCGAGCGUUAAUCGGAAUUACUGGGCGUAAAGCGUGCGCAGGCGGUUUCGUAAGACAGAGGUGAAAUCCCCGGGCUCAACCUGGGAACUGCCUUUGUGACUGCGAGGCUAGAGUACGGCAGAGGGGGGGUGGAAUUCCACGUGUAGCAGUGAAAUGCGUAGAGAUGUGGAGGAACACCGAUGGCGAACGCAGCCCCCUGGGCCGAUACUGACGCUCAUGCACGAAAGCGUGG